rnacentral:rRNA from 1 species
UGGGGAAUUUUGGACAAUGGACGCAAGUCUGAACCAGCCAUGCCGCGUGGAGGAUGAAGGUCCUCUGGAUUGUAAACUUCUUUUAUCUGGGACGAAACACUUCUUUUCUAAGAGGCCUGACGGUACCAGAUGAAUAAGCACCGGCUAACUCCGUGCCAGCAGCCGCGGUAAUACGGAGGGUGCAAGCGUUAUCCGGAUUCACUGGGUUUAAAGGGUGCGUAGGUGGGUAUGUAAGUCAGUGGUGAAAUCCCCGAGCUUAACUUGGGAACUGUCAUUGAUACUAUAUAUCUUGACUACCGUAGAGGUAAGCGGAAUAUGUCAUGUAGCGGUGAAAUGCUUGGAUAUGACAUGGCACACCAAUUGCGAAGGCAGCUUACUAUGCGGUGAUUGACACUGAGGCACGAAAGCGUGGGUAGCA